rnacentral:hammerhead_ribozyme from 1 species
AUCCAACUGACGAGUCACAAAUAGGACGAAAUGCGCGUUGUAGAU